rnacentral:rRNA from 1 species
GACGAACGCUGGCGGCGUGCUUAACACAUGCAAGUCGAACGGUGACGAGGAGCUUGCUCCUCUGAUCAGUGGCGAACGGGUGAGUAACACGUGAGCAACCUGCCCCAGACUCUGGGAUAACAGUUGGAAACAGCUGCUAAUACCGGAUACGAGACGGAGAGGCAUCUCUACCGUCGGUUUUAAAGUUUUCGGUCUGGGAUGGACUCGCGGCCUAUCAGCUAGUUGGUGAGGUAAUGGCUCACCAAGGCGACGACGGGUAGCCGGCCUGAGAGGGCGACCGGCCACACUGGGACUGAGACACGGCCCAGACUCCUACGGGAGGCAGCAGUGGGAAUAUUGCACAAUGGGCGAAAGCCUGAUGCAGCGACGCCGCGUGAGGGAUGACGGCCUUCGGUUGUAACCUCUUCAGCAGGAGAAGCGAAAGUGACGGUACUGCAGAAGAAGCACCGGCUAACUACGUGCCAGCAGCCGCGGUAA